rnacentral:rRNA from 1 species
GUCCACACCGUAAACGAUGGAUACUAGGUGUCCGGGCUUUCGGGCCUGGGUGCCCAAGGGAAACCGAUAAGUAUCCCACCUGGGGAGUACGUUCGCAAGGAUGAAACUCAAAGGAAUUGACGGGGGCCCGCACAAGCGGUGGAGCAUGUGGUUUAAUUCGAUGAUACGCGAGGAACCUUACCUGGGCUAGAAUGCCCCUGACAGCCCGUGAAAGCGGGUUUUCCUUCGGGACAGGGUGCAAGGUGCUGCAUGGUUGUCGU